rnacentral:tRNA from 2 species
GGUAGUAUGGCUGAUUUAGGCGGUAAUCUGUAAAAUUAUUAAUAGGACAUUCCUUGCUACCA